UACGGGGGGGGUAAGCGUUGUUCGGAAUUACUGGGCGGUAAAGGGCUCGUAGGCGGCCAACUAAGUCAAUACGUGAAAUCCCUCAGCUUAACUGGGGAACUGCGUGUGAUACUGGAUGGCUUGGAUUUGGGAGAGGGAUGCGGAAUUCCAGGUGUAGCGGUGAAAUGCGUAGAUAUCUGGAGGAACACCGGUGGCGAAGGCGGCAUCCUGGACCAAUAUUGACGCUGAGGAGCGAAAGCCAGGGGAGCAAACGGG
rnacentral:rRNA from 1 species